rnacentral:rRNA from 1 species
ACAUGCAAGUCGAACGAAGUAGCAAUACUUAGUGGCAGACGGGUGAGUAACAUGUGGGUAUCUGCCCUUUGGCCUGGAAUAACACGAGGAAACUUGUGCUAAUACCGGAUAAGUCUUUACGGAGAAAGCUUUAUGCACCAUUGGAUGAGCCCGCACUUGAUUAGUUUGUUGGUGGGGUAAUGGCCUACCAAGACUUUGAUCAAUAGCUGAUUUGAGAGGAUGAUCAGCCACAUUGGGACUGAGACACGGCCCAAACUCCUACGGGAGGCAGCAGUGGGGAAUCUUGCACAAUGGAGGAAACUCUGAUGCAGCGAUGCCGCGUGAGUGAAGAAGGCCCUUGGGUUGUAAAGCUCUUUCGUCGGGGAAGAAAAUGACUGUACCCGAAUAAGAAGGUCCGGCUAACUUCGUGCCAGCAGCCGCGGUAAUACGAAGGGACCUAGCGUAGUUCGGAAUUACUGGGCUUAAAGAGUUCGUAGGUGGUUGAAAAAGUUGGUGGUGAAAUCCCAGAGCUUAACUCUGGAACUGCCAUCAAAACUUUUCAGCUAGAGUUUGAUAGAGGAAAGCAGAAUUUCUAGUGUAGAGGUGAAAUUCGUAGAUAUUAGAAAGAAUACCAAUUGCGAAGGCAGCUUUCUGGAUCAUUACUGACACUGAGGAACGAAAGCAUGGGUAGCGAAGAGGAUUAGAUACCCUCGUAGUCCAUGCUGUAAACGAUGUGUGUUAGACGUUGGAAAUUUAUUUUCAGUGUCGCAGCGAAAGCGAUAAACACACCGCCUGGGGAGUACGACCG